rnacentral:rRNA from 1 species
AAUUGGAGGGCAAGUCUGGUGCCAGCAGCCGCGGUAAUUCCAGCUCCAAUAGCGUAUAUUAAAGUUGUUGCAGUUAAAAAGCCCGUAGUUGAAUUUCGGGAUUGACGUGAUGGUCGUGCCUUAAGGGGUAUGAACUGUCGCAGUUGAUUUCUCACCUUCUGGAGAAGCAUGAUGUCCUUAAUUGGGUGUCAUGUGGAACCAGGACCUUUACCUUGAAAAAAUUAGAGUGUUUAAAGCAGGCAUUUUGCUCGAAUACAUUAGCAUGGAAUAAUAGAAUAGGACGGCAUGGUUCUAUUUUGUUGGUUUCUAGGAUCACCGUAAUGAUUAAUAGGGAUAGUUGGGGGCAUUAGUAUUCAAUUGUCAGAGGUGAAAUUCUUGGAUUUAUUGAAGACUAACUACUGCGAAAGCAUUUGCCAAGGAUGUUUUCAUUAAUCAAGAACGAAAGUUAGGGGAUCGAAGACGAUCAGAUACCGUCGUAGUCUUAACCAUAAACUAUGCCGACUAGGAAUCAGACGAUGUUAAUUUUUUAAUGACUCGUUUGGCACCUUACGGGAAACCAAAGUGU